rnacentral:siRNA from 1 species
UUAAAGAUCCAACUCCAUUGUU